GAGAAAUAAACCCCAGAAGAUUCCAUGAGGAGACUGAAGUGGGGAUAGACAAAGUCUCAGUGUACUGCUGGUGACAGUGUGUGAGCGUCAGAGCCACAGCUAACAGUGGUCAAGAGGGAUGCUCGGGUCGCUUUUCCGAGGCCCAGAAACAUCGAGUAGAGUGUUUUGAAAACGUGGCAGUGCUGAACUCUGCUUUUCAGGAUGGUAGGCUGUCUGUGCUGGAGAAGGCAGUGGCGCCCCACUCUUCAGGAUGGUAGGCUGUCUGUGCCGGAGAAGGCGAUGGCCCCCCACUCUUCAGGAUGGUAGGCUGUCUGUGCCGGAGAAGGCAGUGGCGCCCCA
rnacentral:lncRNA from 1 species